rnacentral:tRNA from 1 species
GCCGCGAUCGCAUAAUCUGGUAUUGCGCUGGAUUGCUAAUCCAGUUUCCUUCGGGAUAUGGGGGUUCAAAUCCCUCUCGCGGCG